rnacentral:rRNA from 1 species
AGAACGAACGCUGGCGGCAUGCCUAAUACAUGCAAGUCGAACGAACACUUCGGUGUUAGUGGCGCACGGGUGCGUAACGCGUGGGAAUCUGCCCUUGGGUUCGGAAUAACAGUUGGAAACGACUGCUAAUACCGGAUGAUAUCGAAAGAUCAAAGAUUUAUCGCCCAGGGAUGAGCCCGCGUAGGAUUAGCUAGUUGGUGAGGUAAAGGCUCACCAAGGCGACGAUCCUUAGCUGGUCUGAGAGGAUGAUCAGCCACACGUGGGACUGAGACACGGCCCAGACUCCGUACGGGAGGCAGCAGUAGGGAAUAUUGGACAAGUGGGCGACAAGGCCUGACUCCAGCAAGUGCCGCGUGAGUGAUGAAGGUCCGUUAGGGUUAGUAAAGCGUUCUUUACCGAGUAGUAGUAUAA